AUAUCGCGUCCGGUGCUUUAGGAUGCGACCGCGAUCAAAAGUAAGCUAUGAAAACGGAUUAUAGAAAGAGCAACAAAAAAAAAAAAAAAAAAACGGCGCUGAAAAGACAAUUAAAAAAGAAAGCUCUAGAAAGUAAAGUGUCCAUGCAGAUGUGCUAAACUGAGCAACGUUUUCAUUAAAACCAGCGAGAGUGAAACGCCAAAUGAAGACGAUGAGAUGGCUUGUCUUUGAGCGGUGCCUGGUUGCCAUGGCUACUAAAAUGGGGCCUGUAGAGAGGAGUCCAGUCGCCGAGGUCGUACGAGCCUGAUUCACUGUCGCUGUCCUCGGCGGGGUCCUUCGGCUCGCCGUCAGCGCUGCAGGAGUCCUCCUCGUCCCACUGCUCGUGUGCUGGAGCUGCGUCGUUCUGAAUACAAGCAGGACACAAUGUGACGCAGUUCUUUGUGUUUACGUUUGUGUCUACCUGUUGUUCGUGAGGCUCUGGAGGAGUUUGGAGGACCUGAACUCGUCCACCUCUCCGAUCACACGGACGCUCACAUCGCCGUCCCGACCCAGCAGCCACUUCACAUGCUUGUUGUCAGCUGGGGGGAGGAGGGGGGAAUUGAAAAGACAAGAAAAAAACGAAAUGGCGGCGUACCUGCUCCUCUCUCAUCUUCAGGAAGAGGAUCCUCUUCUGGUCCUCACUGAGGGCCUCCAGCACCUCGGGCUCUACCCACAUGUCCUCAAGGAUCUUAGCCAGCAUCCUGCCUCUUUUCCCCCGGGUGUCAGAGUCAGCCUUCAGCCCUUCUGUCUCUCCUUCUUCCAGUGGGUCGUGUUUCAGCGGUGGGGUAUGAUCGCUCCUUUUUCCUCUUCCAGAGUCAGGUUCCCUUUUCUUUGAAGGAUGGGGGAUCGGGUGGUUUAACUGCUGCAGGUCACUGUAGUGUCCUUUGUCAAGUGCUCUUCCUCUGCUGUAGGAGUGUGUCGGCCUCUUUCACACUGGCACAGUGUGUCCGGAUCAACUGAAGGUUGCUGUUGUGGAGAGAGAGCGAGAGAGCGAGAGAGAGAGAGAUUAUAUCUACUGUAUUGUUUAGUUCCCCUCCAUUCAAGGCAGAACACAAUAGUCCUGAAGCAAAUAAGCCACAAUAAUAAACUGUGUGUGUGUGUGUAUGUGUGUGCGUGCAGUGUUUACUCUGCAUACAGCGAGAAUGCCGCUGUGCUUUCAAAUACUAAAAGGCAAAUAGGGGCAGGUUUAGUACGUCAACACACACACACACACACACACACAAACACAAACAGGGUGUUAAUGAUUGCAUGCUAUCUGGGGGUAACAGACAUAGAUAGAAAGCAAAAGACAGCUACAGUUCACUCAAAUUAUUGCAUUAACAGCAGCUCACCCACGCACACACACACACACACACACACACACACACACACACACACACACUCCGAUUGUUUUUUGCACCUUAUCAGCACACGUGACACAGAUAGACAUCAGUUAGUAAUAACUCCAUCAGGAAGUCCUAAGAGUAAAAUCCCAGAGAAUCUCCACCUUGAACUGUGUGGACAUAGUUUAAAAGCAGUCCCCGCCCUGUACAUACUUUUGAAAGUUGUGAAACAGUGAGUUGCUGAGCAAGAGCCAAUAGGAUUUGUGUCUGUGAUAACAGUUGACCAAUCUGCACUUAAGGGCAGUCUGAUAUUAGGGUAACUCAGAAGAAGCUGGCAAAUAUGAAAUAUCACCCUUUCAGUUAGUGUUUGAGGCGUGGCAAAUGUUGAACCAUAGAAAUAUACUAACCCUCACACUAGACUUGAAGAAUUCUAUGGUUUGAGUCUAAACUGAGCAGUAAAACAAUCAUGUUUUGCCUCUAACAAGCUGAUACAGGACUGAAUGCAAAACUGUGACUAAAAACAACACCAAUUUUACAUAGCUGGAAAAUUCCUAAAUAGAGUGAAGCCUAAAAAACAAUAACUUUAAAAGAGAUAAAGAACAUGGCUGCUUUACUUACAAUGACUUAUGUUGUGAUAUAAAAAGAGCAGCAGCUCAUAAAUCUAUGUACCAUGUUUACGUAGUAAAACUUAAGCUUAACAUAUAUGAAGCUAUAUAUAUAUAUAUAUAUAUAGCUUCAUUGCAUUACAGCUUCAUUGCAUUAUUAGUCUACUGUGGAACCAGCAUCCAUUCAUUCAUCAACUCUGUGCAGCACUUCUCAAGUCUCUUUCAGUUGUUUUUCAGAGUGAGGUUUUUGUGAUCCAUGUUCUUGUUCGUUUUCUAUGGGGUGUGUUUUCUUUUAUUCUUUCACAAUGGAGAAGUUGUGAAGCCCUUUAGGACUAUGUAAUUGAGAGCAAUCGUAGACUGUAAAAAAGAAUCGACGGAGCUUCCGGGCCUUUAACCUCCAUUCUAUCUCAUUUCCAGCAGGGGGCGACUCCACUGGUUGCAAAAAGAAGUCGGCUUGCAAGGAAGUCUAUGAGGAAAAAAACCCUACUUUCACUUGAUUUAUUUCCCCAAUAAACAUUUUCAUAAUCA